rnacentral:rRNA from 1 species
GACGAACGCUGGCGGCGUGCCUAAUACAUGCAAGUGGGACGCAAGGAAACACACUGUGCUUGCACACCGUGUUUUCUUGAGUCGCGAACGGGUGAGUAACGCGUAGGUAACCUGCCUAUUAGCGGGGGAUAACUAUUGGAAACGAUAGCUAAUACCGCAUAAUAUUAAUUAUUGCAUGAUAAUUGAUUGAAAGAUGCAAGCGCAUCACUAGUAGAUGGACCUGCGUUGUAUUAGCUAGUUGGUAAGGUAAGAGCUUACCAAGGCGACGAUACAUAGCCGACCUGAGAGGGUGAUCGGCCACACUGGGACUGGGACACGGCCCAGACUCCUACGGGAGGCAGCAGUAGGGAAUCUUCGGCAAUGGACGAAAGUCUGACCGAGCAACGCCGCGUGAGUGAAGAAGGUUUUCGGAUCGUAAAGCUCUGUUGUAAGUCAAGAACGUGUGUGAGAGUGGAAAGUUCACACAGUGACGGUAGCUUACCAGAAAGGGACGGCUAACUACGUG